AGCCAGCAUGGUGUAAUGGUUUGAAUGUUGGACUGCAACUCUGGAGACAAGGGUUCGAUUCCCAACUUAGCUA